AGCUUGUUGGUGAGGUAACGGCCCACCAAGGCAAAGAUCGGUAGCCGGCCUGAGAGGGCACACGGCCACACUGGCACUGAAACACGGGCCAGACUCCUACGGGAGGCAGCAGUGGGGAAUCUUGCACAAUGGGGGAAACCCUGAUGCAGCGACGCCGCGUGAGCGAUGAAGCCCUUCGGGGCGUAAAGCUCUUUCGGCAGGGAAGACGAUGACGGUACCUGCAGAAGCAGCUGCGGCUAACUUCGUGCCAGCAGCCGCGGUAAUACGAAGGGGGCUAGCGUUGUUCGGAAUUACUGGGCGUAAAGCGCGUGUAGGCGGGUCUUUAAGUCAGGGGUGAAAUGCCAAGGCUCAACCUUGGAACUGCCUUUGAUACUGGAGAUCUUGAGUCCGGGAGAGGUGAGUGGAACUGCGAGUGUAGAGGUGAAAUUCGUAGAUAUUCGCAAGAACACCAGUGGCGAAGGCGGCUCACUGGCCCGGAACUGACGCUGAGACGCGAAAGCGUGGGGAGCAAACAGGAUUAGAUACCCUGGUAGUCCACGCUGUAAACGAUGGAUGCUAGCCGUUGGGGAGCUUGCUCUUCAGUGGCGCAGCUAACGCUUUAAGCAUCCCGCCUGGGGAGUACGGUCGCAAGGUUAAA
rnacentral:rRNA from 1 species